AUUGAACGCUGGCGGCAGGCCUAACACAUGCAAGUCGAGCGGAUGAAGGGAGCUUGCUCCUGGAUUCAGCGGCGGACGGGUGAGUAAUGCCUAGGAAUCUGCCUGGUAGUGGGGGACAACGUUUCGAAAGGAACGCUAAUACCGCAUACGUCCUACGGGAGAAAGCAGGGGACCUUCGGGCCUUGCGCUAUCAGAUGAGCCUAGGUCGGAUUAGCUUGUUGGUGAGGUAAUGGCUCACCAAGGCGACGAUCCGUAACUGGUCUGAGAGGAUGAUCAGUCACACUGGAACUGAGACACGGUCCAGACUCCUACGGGAGGCAGCAGUGGGGAAUAUUGGACAAUGGGCGAAAGCCUGAUCCAGCCAUGCCGCGUGUGUGAAGAAGGUCUUCGGAUUGUAAAGCACUUUAAGUUGGGAGGAAGGGUUGUAGAUUAAUACUCUGCAAUUUUGACGUUACCGACAGAAUAAGCACUGGCUAACUCUGUGCCAGCAGCCGCCGUAAUAC
rnacentral:rRNA from 1 species